rnacentral:rRNA from 1 species
CGGACGGGUGAGUAAUGUCUGGGAAACCGCCUGAUGGAGGGGGAUAACUACUGGAAACGGUAGCUAAUACCGCAUAACAUCGCAAGACCAAAGAGGGGGACCUUAGGGCCUCUUGCCAUCGGAUGUGCCCAGAUGGGAUUAGCUAGUAGGUGGGGUAAAGGCUCACCUAGGCGACGAUCCCUAGCUGGUCUGAGAGGAUGACCAGCCACACUGGAACUGAGACACGGUCCAG